AGCAGUGGGCCUUCAACGGAGGAACGUGUGCAAGCUGUGGUAGCCUGCGAUGACGACAGCACAGGAGCAAUACACCUUCACCAGAUGAGUCAUCCUUGCCAUGCUGAAGUGUGGUACUGAAGAAAGUCAGCAACAGCGUGAUCUGUCUCAUCAGGACCAUAGCUACGCACGACACGCACCAGCCUUGUCAACACAGAGCACUGUUGUCUCCCCACUAGCUGCAGUUGUCACUCCUCUGCCAGGAACGUCGUCUGGUGUACUGCGUGCAGUCUCGUCACCUCAGCACUUAGGAGGUGGAAGUGGCUGGCAUCCCCCCAAAGAUUGCCCAUCGUCCAGUAGUCUGGCAGCUCCAGCAC